UAAUGUAAAUGUUAGUACUCAUUAUAUCAGGAAAGUGCAGAUCAUACAUGUCCAAAGCUGACCUUGAUUAGUAGGAAUUACACCAUUAAAAGAGGAAAGUGCCCUUCCCGUGAUUUGUAAUAUCAUUUUAAAUUAUACCUUAUAGUUAACAAAUGUUUUGUGAGGUCUGAAAAAAAUAUAUAAUGUAGAAAUUAUCCUACAGCGGAGUGUCUCCAUCUUAGCUACUUGUCAUUGUUCUAAGCGUUGUGCUUUGCUGUUGGCAGUCGGUAUAGAGGAAGCGCCCAGAGAGGUGAAAUUAAACACUGUUUCUAUUUCUCCUUAUUUGCAAUGUGUACCUUGAUUAUACCUGGACUCAACUUAUUUUGUAAUGUAAUUUUCCUAAAGCUUUAAAUAUAAAUUUAAAAGAACACAGAGCAUUGAUGAUUUUAAAAGCUUUAUUGAAAGGUGUGCUUUCCACAAAAUCGAUUGUGGAGAAGGUGUGCUUUCCAGUGAAAUGAUUAUAGAGAAAGGUGUGCUUUUCAGAGAAGUGAUACGUUUUAGAGGGCUGAAAAUUCCUGUAGCUGCCAUCCAGGAGUCCUCAUACUGCACAGUGACUUUCUUCACACUUGCAUUUAAGAAAAUGAUUGCACAGAUGACAUCACUAUUCGUGCAAAGGGAAAUUGAAUACAGGAUCCAACCAUAGAAAUAAGUAGAUCAUGGUAUAUAUAUCUAUUUAUAUACAUAUACAAAAUAAACCAUACAGACUGCUUCACAAUUCUCUAAAGCAUAUAAAUAAUAAAUAUCCUUUUUCCACAAAUAAUUUCUUUUGUUAUCUAGUAUAAAGGGCCAUUGCACACAGUCCACAAGAGAGCAGGCUCUUACAUUCCUCCAUUCACACUUCUCAUCUUCUCUACUGACAUUUCUUUCACUUUAAAGUGUAAUUAGACUACCUUAUUGUGCCUCUUGUGUAAUGAAGUUUGCUGUCAUUGCUCACAGGGUAUUUAUAGAGCUAAAACUGACCUCAGGCACUUUGGGGGUCUUAUUUUGAUAAACUGUAGAGAAAUCUAAGUUACAUGGACACUAUUGUAUUCUAUAGUCUUAUGCUACCUGAUAAACUAGGAAAUGGCUACACUCUGGAAGCAGGUGACAAAGGCAAGAG